rnacentral:rRNA from 1 species
GACGAACGCUGGCGGCGUGCCUAACACAUGCAAGUCGAACGGACAGGCCAUGCUUUUGUGGGGUGCUCGUGUGGCGAACGGGUGUGUAACACGUGAGUAACCUGCCCUUGACUUUGGGAUAACUUCAGGAAACUGGGGCUAAUACCGGAUAGGAGCUCCUGCUCCUUGGUGGGGGUUGGAAAGUUUCGGCGGUUGGGGAUGGACUCGCGGCUUAUCAGCUUGUUGGUGGGGUAGUGGCUUACCAAGGCUUUGACGGGUAGCCGGCCUGAGAGGGUGACCGGCCACAUUGGGACUGAGAUACGGCCCAGACUCCUACGGGAGGCAGCAGUGGGGAAUAUUGCACAAUGGGCGGAAGCCUGAUGCAGCAACGCCGCGUGCGGGAUGACGGCCUUCGGGUUGUAAACCGCUUUCGCCUGUGACGAAGCGAGAGUGACGGUAAUGGGUAAAGAAGCACCGGCUAACUACGUG